rnacentral:tRNA from 2 species
GGGCCGCUGGUCUAGUGGUAUGAUUCUCGCUUAGGGUACACCCUACAGCAAUGUUUGCGAGAGGUCCCGGGUUCAAUCCCCGGGUGGCCCC